AUUGAACGCUGGCGGCAGGCCUAACACAUGCAAGUCGAACGGCUGAAGGGUGCGUGCUCCUGGUUUCAGCGGCGGACGGGCGAGUAAUGCCUAGGAACCUGCCUAUCUGCUUGUUCGAACGUCCGAACACGGGGGCUCAUACGCCAAUACCCCUUACGGCCAACGGGGGGGAGCUUCGGAUCUUCCGCUAUCGGAUGAGUGUAGGUCGCGAGGUCGGAUUAGCUAGUUGGUGGGGUAAAGGCCCACCAAGGCGACGAUCCGUAGCUGGUCUGAGAGGAUGAUCAGCCACACUGGAACUGAGACACGGUCCAGACUCCUACGGGAGGCAGCAGUGGGGAAUAUUGGACAAUGGGCGCAAGCCUGAUCCAGCCAUGCCGCGUGUGUGAAGAAGGUCUUCGGAUUGUAAAGCACUUUAAUUGGGGAGGAAAGGCAGUAAGUUAAUACCUCGCUGUUUUGACGUUACCAACAGAAUAAGCACCGGCUAACUUCGUG
rnacentral:rRNA from 1 species